rnacentral:rRNA from 1 species
GACGAACGCUGGCGGCGUGCCUAAUACAUGCAAGUAGAACGCUGAAGGAGGAGCUUGCCUCUCUGGAUGAGUUGCGAACGGGUGAGUAACGCGUAGGUAACCUGCCUGGUAGCGGGGGAUAACUAUUGGAAACGAUAGCUAAUACCGCAUAAUAGUAGAUGUUGCAUGACAUUUACUUAAAAGGUGCAAUUGCAUCACUACCAGAUGGACCUGCGUUGUAUUAGCUAGUUGGUGGGGUAACGGCUCACCAAGGCGACGAUACAUAGCCGACCUGAGAGGGUGAUCGGCCACACUGGGACUGAGACACGGCCCAGACUCCUACGGGAGGCAGCAGUAGGGAAUCUUCGGCAAUGGACGAAAGUCUGACCGAGCAACGCCGCGUGAGUGAAGAAGGUUUUCGGAUCGUAAAGCUCUGUUGUAAGAGAAGAACGAGUGUGAGAGUGGAAAGUUCACACUGUGACGGUAUCUUACCAGAAAGGGACGGCUAACUACGUG